rnacentral:ncRNA from 1 species
AAAAAAGUGAUGCAAAGGACAAGGGUCUGUUGUUACGGUUUAUAGAGAGGGAAGGACGGUGGAAACUUCCUAACACGAAUAAUGGACUUACCCCCUUUAAACUUCAACUGUGAAAGAUUUUCAAGUAAUGGUUGACGGAACCGACCGUUAUCGGCUUCUUGAGUCGCAAUGGUUUUUUAAACUUUGCGAGAAUCAGGGUGGAACCACGGGUAUUUAAAACUCGUCCCUACU